rnacentral:tRNA from 1 species
GGUGGGGUGCCGGAGUGGUUAAUCGGAACAGACUGUAAAUCUGUCGCGCCUUGCGCUUCGGUGGUUCGAAUCCACCCCCCACCACCA